GGGCCUGUGCCCCCCCCCAGAUCACAGCUAGGUGUGUAAACUGGAUAUGCCUAUUGUGUGGUUUCUGUGUCUUUUUUUAAGGCCUGGGGGGUAUACCACGAACCUCGCUAAACAUACUCAGGCUUUCUUGGGAAAGCCUGGCUCAACAGAGACGCAACUGGCAAUCAGAGUUAAAUGGUACCACGACACUCACUUUAGAUUCAAUAAGUCGAACCAGGUUUUCCGCUUUAGGUUCAAUGCGCGUUCACAUAAAAGGGGCGUUUAUCGCGUCAUUUGAGUCACCCUUAUCCAAAAUGAAUCGAGCGAGAGCGGUGUAUUACACCCAAGACGAGCAUUGUAUUAUUAUGAAUUACUACGAGGAAUUCAAAGUCCAAAUCACAGCCAAGGGGAACACGGUUGCCCAUAAUAAGGCUAGGGUGGCGUGCUGGCAGAAAUAGCCGACCGUGUUAAUUCGUAAAUGAAAAGAUUAUGCAUAUUGUCUAAAAAAUAGUCAAAAUAAAUAAAUAAAAAUAUAUAUUUUAUAAAUAUAAAAAUAUUAUUCAAUGUGGUAAGUUGUAAGCAUCCAUUUGAAUAAUUUCAGGUGAAUCAAGCCUAUGAUUUGCAAUGGCCUAGGCUCAGACCUUUAAUCUUAUGUUGAUUACCUGUAGCAAAUAAAAAGAGAACCCAAAUGAAUACGACUGGGAGGGGGACUGCUCCACCGCCCUUCCCCACUUCGGAGGAGCUGGCUCUCACCAAUAACGAAGGUCGGUCGAUGAUGGUGGGAGUGGAAGGGGGGAUGUCCUCUGACCCCACUGCCUCGACAUCCAAGGCGUUUGUAAUGAAUCACCAGCAGCUAAACGGUUGAUAAGCCCCGAUGCAGUCCGGGAACGCUGCACGCAUGUCAGCGGUCGAUGCCGUACCGCACCCACAUGACAUGUGCGAGGGAGAAAAACCUCAAGAGGAAGGACCUUGGCUUCAGGGAAAAUAGAACAUACAGGCUGGAAUAUCACAUCAGCAUCUUGUCCAGCCCAUGAAUCAGUCAAUGCACCUUACGUAUUACAUCUUCUCCCCUUACCUGACACACACACACACACACACACACACACACACACACACACACACACACACACACACACACACACACACACACACACACACACACACAUAAAUGGAUUCCUCCCCUCACACAAACACACACAAUUUAGAUGUUAUUGUAAAUCCCCAUUACUGGAGAUAACCCUGUACGGGAAACAAAGACCUUGAGUACUAAAAUGCACGGAACCGCUAUAGUCUUUUAAGCUUUUAAUGGAAUUACACCACCAGCCUGGGAGGUUGAAUAACCAUUGUGCAGGUAUAUUUAGCAAUAAUGCAUUUAAAACAACAGGGAUGUGUGUGGGUCUUACUUGUGCAUACAGACAGGGACCGUUUUGUUGUUAACACAAGACACGACAAGCCUCUGCAAGCUGUUAGCAUGACUGUAGAAUAAGAACAGGCUGUUGUAUUAUUACACUGUAUGAGAAUGGCCAACUAAACACAGCCAGUGGAUCACAGCAAGCUGAAUAAAUCCAAAACGGAGAGGAAGAUUAAAACAAACUGAUGCCUCCCUAA
ensembl:lncRNA